rnacentral:rRNA from 1 species
GACGAACGUUGGCGGCGUGGAUUAGGCAUGCAAGUCGAGCGCGAUAUGUAGCAAUACAUGGAGAGCGGCGAAAGGGAGAGUAAUACGUAGGUAUCUACCCUCGGGUCUGGGAUAGCAGCGGGAAGCUGCUGGUAAUACCAGAUAACGUCUCCGGACCAAAGGUGUGAUUCCACCUGAGGAGGAGCCUACGGCCUAUUAGCUAGUUGGUAGGGUAACGGCCUACCAAGGCAAAGAUGGGUAUGGGGUGUGAGAGCAUGCCCCCACUCACUGGGACUGAGACACUGCCCAGACACCUACGGGUGGCUGCAGUCGAGAAUCUUCGGCAAUGGGCGAAAGCCUGACCGAGCGACGCCUCGUGCGGGAUGAAGGCCUUCGGGUUGUAAACCGCUGUCGUAGUGGAGGAAAUGUAGGAGAGUUAUCUCUUCUACUUGACUAAUACUAGGAGGAAGGACCGGCUAAUCUCGUGCCAGCAGCCGCGGUAA